rnacentral:rRNA from 1 species
UACGAGGGGGCAAGCGUUGUUCGGAAUUAUUGGGCGUAAAGGGCGCGUAGGCGGUGCGGUAAGUCACCUGUGAAACCUCUAGGCUCAACCUAGAGCCUGCAGGCGAAACUGCCGUGCUUGAGGGUGGGAGAGGUGCGUGGAAUUCCCGGUGUAGCGGUAGAAUGCGUAGAUAGUCGGAGGAACACCUGUGGCGAAGCGGCGCACUGGACCACAUCUGACGCUGAGGCGCGAAAGCUAGGGGAGCAAACAGG